AUGGCCAAGGAAGCAGGCAUUCUCACCUCCAUCUCUGUAGCCUCCCCCUUCUCCCUGCCCUCAUCUCCAACAGAUAAUCCAGAACUUCUCCUCCAAGUUUCCUCCCCACUGUUAUCCCAGACCCUGACUCCAGCAGGCUUCUCUGGGAUCCCACGAGCAAUGACUGCCAGAGAAUCAAGUAUGCCAGAGAAGCAGCCUGAGAAAGCCGAAUACCAGAGGGCAUCCGGGCCCUUCUUCAGCAAACAGCGUUACAAUGACGCACAGCUCCAAGAACAAAGGGCAUUCAAAAGAAGGCCAGGGGCCAAGGAGGAGACUCCCUGUAUUGGCUCACUUCUUACCACCACCUUGCACAGUGGGGGCGAUGUCACCUUCCCUAACUGCAGCUCCCCUCAGAGGAGCAGCUGGCUGUGUUCUGGAAACAUGCUCUAUUUUGGAGAAGGAAGCCGGCUCACUGUUGUAGAGGAUCUGAGCAAGGUGAGCCCACCCAAGGUCACCUUGUUUGAGCCAUCAGAAGCAGAGGUUGUCGACAAACAAAUGGCUACCCUCGUGUGCCUGGCCAGGGGCUUCUUCCCUGACCAUGUGGAACUGAGCUGGUUGGUGAAUGGGAAGGAGGUCCACAGUGGAGUCAGCACAGACCCUCAGCCCUCCAAGGAGAGCAAUAACAUCACCUACUGCCUGAGCAGCCGCCUGAGGGUCUCUGCAACCUUCUGGCACAAUCCUCGCAACCACUUCCGCUGCCAAGUCCAGUUCUAUGGGCUGACAGAUGAAGAUGAGUGGAAUGGGGAGCCCUCACUCAAACCUGUCACCCAGACCGUCAGUGCCGAGGCCUGGGGCAGCGCAGAUUGUGGUAUUACCUCAGCAUCCUACCAACAAGGGGUCCUGUCUGCCACCAUCCUUUAUGAGAUCCUGCUGGGGAAGGCCACCCUGUAUGCUGUGCUUGUCAGUACCCUGGUGCUGAUAGCUGUGGUCAAGAGGAAGAAUUCCUGA